rnacentral:lncRNA from 1 species
UGGCACCUCUUGGUUCUAAGGCAGCUCAUUUCUCUGAAAGGCAGAGCUCUUCUCUUGCCCGCUCUGCCUCUCAACUAAGAAGCAUGAAACCUAAAGGAUGCUGCAUAACUUCCUGAGUUUUGUGUUAUGCAUGGAUGGCUGAGCAUUGUUCAUGCCCAGCAUUCAGAAAAGAGGGGAGACUUUGCAUGUGACGUGUCCCCUCUGAAUUGUCCCACAGCUGCCUGUCCCACCGGACCACCUCGACGGCUGAAUGAACAGCAGCUGUUCAUUAACAGGGAACAGAGAUCCGGUGCUGGCCAUAGGAAGUAUCACAGACAGGUGAUGAGGCUGGGGCACAUAUUCAGAAGGAGAAUCAACUGCAGGCAAAUGUCUCUCAUGACUGUUUCCAUGACCUGUCUUCAAGGAUGUCCAGGGUUCAAUGUCCCACCCCCAGGUGCUCUGCUCCAUCAUCCCUACUGGCCCUCUUCUGAACCUCUCUUCCCAUGGUUUAAAUAUUAUCACUUUUUGCUCUAA